UCGAACGAUGAUGCCCAGCUUGCUGGGUGGAUUAGUGGCGAACGGGUGAGUAACACGUGAGUAACCUGCCCCUGACUCUGGGAUAAGCGUUGGAAACGACGUCUAAUACUGGAUAUGAUCACCGGCCGCAUGGUCUGGUGGUGGAAAGAUUUUUUGGUUGGGGAUGGACUCGCGGCCUAUCAGCUUGUUGGUGAGGUAAUGGCUCACCAAGGCGACGACGGGUAGCCGGCCUGAGAGGGUGACCGGCCACACUGGGACUGAGACACGGCCCAGACUCCUACGGGAGGCAGCAGUGGGGAAUAUUGCACAAUGGGCGAAAGCCUGAUGCAGCAACGCCGCGUGAGGGAUGACGGCCUUCGGGUUGUAAACCUCUUUUAGUAGGGAAGAAGCGAAAGUGACGGUACCUGCAGAAAAAGCACCGGCUAACUACGUGCCAGCAGCCGCGGUAAUACGUAGGGUGCAAGCGUUGUCCGGAAUUAUUGGGCGUAAAGAGCUCGUAGGCGGUUUGUCGCGUCUGCUGUGAAAUCCCGAGGCUCAACCUCGGGCUUGCAGUGGGUACGGGCAGACUAGAGUGCGGUAGGGGAGAUUGGAAUUCCUGGUGUAGCGGUGGAAUGCGCAGAUAUCAGGAGGAACACCGAUGGCGAAGGCAGAUCUCUGGGCCGUAACUGACGCUGAGGAGCGAAAGCAUGGGGAGCGAACAGGAUUAGAUACCCUGGUAGUCCAUGCCGUAAACGUUGGGCGCUAGAUGUAGGGACCUUUCCACGG
rnacentral:rRNA from 1 species